rnacentral:rRNA from 1 species
GGGGAAUAUUGGGCAAUGGACGCAAGUCUGACCCAGCAACGCCGCGUGAAGGAAGAAGGCUUUCGGGUUGUAAACUUCUUUGACAGGGGAAGAGCAGAAGACGGUACCCUGAAAACGAGCCACGGCUAACUACGUGCCAGCAGCCGCGGUAAUACGUAGGUGGCAAGCGUUGUCCGGAUUUACUGGGUGUAAAGGGCGUGUAGCCGGGUCGGCAAGUCAGAUGUGAAAUCUGGGGGCUCAACCUCCAAACUGCAUUUGAAACUGUUGAUCUUGAGUAUCGGAGAGGUAAUCGGAAUUCCUAGUGUAGCGGUGAAAUGCGUAGAUAUUAGGAAGAACACCAGUGGCGAAGGCGGAUUACUGGACGACAACUGACGGUGAGGCGCGAAAGCGUGGGGAGCAAAC